CCUAGUAACGGCGAGUGAAGCGGCAAGAGCUCAAAUUUGAAAGCUGGCUCCUUCGGGGUCCGCAUUGUAAUUUGCAGAGGAUGCUUCGGGAGCGGUCCCCGUCUAAGUGCCCUGGAACGGGCCGUCAUAGAGGGUGAGAAUCCCGUAUGGGACGGGGUGUCCGCGCCCGUGUGAAGCUCCUUCGACGAGUCGAGUUGUUUGGGAAUGCAGCUCUAAAUGGGUGGUAAAUUUCAUCUAAAGCUAAAUAUUGGCCGGAGACCGAUAGCGCACAAGUAGAGUGAUCGAAAGAUGAAAAGCACUUUGAAAAGAGAGUUAAAAAGCACGUGAAAUUGUUGAAAGGGAAGCGCUUGCGACCAGACUCGCCUACGGGGUUCAGCCGGCAUUCGUGCCGGUGUACUUCCCCGUGGGCGGGCCAGCGUCGGUUUGGGCGGCCGGUCAAAGGCUCCCGGAAUGUAACGCCUCUCGGGGCGUCUUAUAGCCGGGGGUGCAAUGCGGCCUGCCUGGACCGAGGAACGCGCUUCGGCACGGACGCUGGCAUAAUGGUCGUAAGCGACCCGUCUUGAAACACGGACCAAGGAGUCUAACAUCUACGCGAGUGUUCGGGUGUCAAACCCGUACGCGCAGUGAAAGCGAACGGAGGUGGGAACCCUUACGGGUGCACCAUCGACCGAUCCUGAUGUCUUCGGAUGGAUUUGAGUAAGAGCGUAGCUGUUGGGACCCGAAAGAUGGUGAACUAUGCCUGAAUAGGGCGAAGCCAGAGGAAACUCUGGUGGAGGCUCGCAGCGGUUCUGACGUGCAAAUCGAUCGUCGAAUUUGGGUAUAGGGCGAAAGACUAAU
rnacentral:rRNA from 1 species